GGUGCGGUAGCCAAGUGGUCGAAGGCAACGGAUUGCAAAUCCGUCUAUCACCGCGAGUUCGAAUCUGGCCCGCACCUCCA
rnacentral:tRNA from 1 species